AUGUAUUGCAGCCAUUCUUAUCAGUGGGCUUUGUUCAAAAGUAAGGAGCAUGUGGAAAUAUACAGUACAAUCGGAGUGUUUAGGACUGACUGCAAGAAGAGAGCUAGGGCAGGAGAAUAUAGUAAGAAGGUGAAAUCAUUUCCUCAGAGUCUCCACCCAAAUUCUACCUUGUUGAGUUCUGUGGGUCAUGUGUCUGCUGCCUCAGCCUCCAGGGCCUUGCAGGAACUCAGCCCUUCAGUGUUGCUACCCCAAGCUCAGGUCUUGCCAUGGGUCACUCUGGCAGCAAUCCAGUCUACCAGGAACUAUGUGGCACAAACAUCACCUUUGCUGAAGACAGGCACCGCCACUGGGUGUAUUGUGGUGAUCACUGGUGCAGUGGUAGAUGUCCAUUUUGAUGAGGGAUUUCCAUCUAUUCUGAAUGCCCAGCAAGUACAAGGCAGGGAGACCAGGCUGGUUUUCGUGAUGGCCCAGCAUUUGGGUGAGAGCACAGUAAGGAUUAUGCUAUGGAUGGUACAGAAGGCUUGUUUAGAGACCAGAAAGUCCUGGACUCUGGUGCACCAAUCAAAAGUCCUGUUGGUCCUGAGACUUUGAGCAGAAUCAUGAACAUCAUCGGAGAGCCUAUUGAUGAAAGCGGUCCCAUCAAAAUAAAACAGUUUGCUCCCAUUUAUGCUGAGGCUCCUGAGUUCAUGGAAAUGAGUGUUGAGCAAGAAAUUCUGGUGACUAGUAUCAAAGUUGUGGAUCUGCUAGCUCCCUAGCCAAGAGUGGCAAAAUUGGGCUUUUUAGUGGUGUUGGAGUUGACAAGAUCGUACCCGUCAUGGAAUUAAUCAACAAUGUUGCCGAAGCCCAUGGUGUUAACUCUGGGUUUGCUGGUGUUUUUGAGAGGACCUGUGAGGGCAAUGACUUAUAUUAUGAAAUGAUGGAGUCUGGUGUUGUCAACUUAAAAGAGGUUACCUCCAAGAUAGUGCUGAUGUGUGGUCAAAUGAAUGAACCACCUGCUACUCAUGCCCAGAUAGCUCUGACUGGACUGACUGUGGCUGAAUACUUCAGAGACCAAGAAGUUCAAGAUGUACUCCUGUUUAUUGAUAAUGUCUUUCACUUCAUCGAGGCUGGCUCAAGGAUGUCUGCCUUAUUGGGCAGAAUCCCUUCUGCUGUGGGCUAUCAGCCUACCCUGGCCGCUGACAUGGUGGGUACGAUGUGGGGAAAGGAUUGCCACUACCAUGAGGGGAUCUGUCACUUCUGUACAGGCUGUGUACCUGCUGAUGACUCGACUGCCCCUGCCCUUGCCUUUCUUUGCUCAUUUGGAUGCCACCACUGUGCUACCCCAUGCUAUCACUGAGCUGGGCAUCUAUCUACAUGUGGAUCCUCUGGACUCCAUCUCUCACAUCAUGGAUCCCAACAUUGUUGGCAAUAAGCGUUAUAAUGUUGCCCGUGGGGUUCAAAAGAUUCUGCAUGGCUACAAAUCCCUCCAGACAUUAUUGUCAUACUGGGUAUGGAUUAACUUUCUGAGGAAGACAAGUUGACUGUGUCUUGAAUGUGGAAAAUACAACAUUUCUUGUCUCAGCCAUUCCAGGUUGCUGAGGUCAUCACAGGUCAUAUGGGGAAGUCAGUACUCCUGAAGGAGACCAUUAAAGGGUUCCAGCAGAUUUUGGUAGGUGAACAUGACCAUGUCUCAGAACAGGAACAGGCCUUCAGUGAUGGAACCCAUUGAAGAAGCUUUGGCGAAAGCUGAUACGCUGGCUGAAGAGCACUUAUUGUGA